rnacentral:rRNA from 1 species
GGGGGCAUCCUUCCUUGUUACGACUUCCCCCAGUCAUGAAUCCAAAGUGGUAAGCGCCCUCCCGAAGGUUAAGCUACCUACUUCUUUUGCAACCCACUCCCAUGGUGUGACGGGCGGUGUGUACAAGGCCCGGGAACGUAUUCACCGUAGCAUUCUGAUCUACGAUUACUAGCGAUUCCGACUUCAUGGAGUCGAGUUGCAGACUCCAAUCCGGACUACGACAUACUUUAUGAGGUCCGCUUGCUCUCGCGAGGUCGCUUCUCUUUGUAUAUGCCAUUGUAGCACGUGUGUAGCCCUGGUCGUAAGGGCCAUGAUGACUUGACGUCAUCCCCACCUUCCUCCAGUUUAUCACUGGCAGUCUCCUUUGAGUUCCCGGCCUAACCGCUGGCAACAAAGGAUAAGGGUUGCGCUCGUUGCGGGACUUAACCCAACAUUUCACAACACGAGCUGACGACAGCCAUGCAGCACCUGUCUCACAGUUCCCGAAGGCACCAAUCCAUCUCUGGAAAGUUCUGUGGAUGUCAAGACCAGGUAAGGUUCUUCGCGUUGCAUCGAAUUAAACCACAUGCUCCACCGCUUGUGCGGGCCCCCGUCAAUUCAUUUGAGUUUUAACCUUGCGGCCGUACUCCCCAGGCGGUCGAUUUAACGCGUUAGCUCCGGAAGCCACGCCUCAAGGGCACAACCUCCAAAUCGACAUCGUUUACGGCGUGGACUACCAGGGUAUCUAAUCCUGUUUGCUCCCCACGCUUUCGCACCUGAGCGUCAGUCUUUGUCCAGGGGGCCGCCUUCGCCACCGGUAUUCCUCCAGAUCUCUACGCAUUUCACCGCUACACCUGGAAUUCUACCCCCCUCUACAAGACUCUAGCCUGCCAGUUUCGAAUGCAGUUCCCAGGUUGAGCCCGGGGAUUUCACAUCCGACUUGACAGACCGCCUGCGUGCGCUUUACGCCCAGUAAUUCCGAUUAACGCUUGCACCCUCCGUAUUACCGCGGCUGCUGGCACGGAGUUAGCCGGUGCUUCUUCUGCGGGUAACGUCAAUCGACAAGGUUAUUAACCUUAACGCCUUCCUCCCCGCUGAAAGUGCUUUACAACCCGAAGGCCUUCUUCACACACGCGGCAUGGCUGCAUCAGGCUUGCGCCCAUUGUGCAAUAUUCCCCACUGCUGCCUCCCGUAAGAAUCUGGACCGGGUCUCAGUUCCAGUGGGGCUGGGCAUCCUCUCAGACCAACUAAGGAUCCGUCGCCUAAGUGAGCCGUUACCCCACCUACUAACUAAACCCAUCUGGGGCAAUUUGAAGGGAUUGAGGCCCAAAGGUCCCCACUUUGGCUUUGGCACUUAUUGCGGAUUAAACAACCGUUUCCAAGAAUUAUUCCCCCCCCAAAGGAGAUUUU